UGCAAGUCGAGCGACCACCCAUCCGCUUGCGGAUGCUGAAAGCGGCGAACGGGUGAGUAACACGUGGGUGACCUGCCCUCGGCACCGGGAUAGCCCGGGGAAACUCGGAUUAAUACCGGAUAGCCUCACUGGUUUUCGGAUUGGUGAGAAAAGGUAGCUUCGGCUUCUAGCUGAGGAUGGGCCCGCGUCCGAUUAGCUUGUUGGUGGGGUAAUGGCUCACCAAGGCAACGAUCGGUAGCUGGUCUGAGAGGACGAUCAGCCACACUGGGACUGAGACACGGCCCAGACUCCUACGGGAGGCAGCAGUGGGGAAUCUUGCGCAAUGGGCGAAAGCCUGACGCAGCGACGCCGCGUGCGGGAGGAAGGCCUUAGGGUUGUAAACCGCUUUCAGGAGGGACGAAGCCACUCGGGUUAAUAGCCCAGAGGGUGACGGUACCUCCAGAAGAAGCCCCGGCUAACUACGUGCCAGCAGCCGCGGUAAUACGUAGGGGGCUAGCGUUGUCCGGGUUCAUUGGGCGUAAAGAGCGUGUAGGCGGUUCGAUAGGUCCGGUGUGAAAACUCGAGGCUCAACCUCGAGAGGUCGCCGGAAACCAUCGAACUAGAGUCCGGAAGAGGAGAGUGGAAUUCCUGGUGUAGCGGUGAAAUGCGCAGAUAUCACGAAGAACACCCAUGGCGAAGGCAGCUCUCU
rnacentral:rRNA from 1 species